rnacentral:rRNA from 1 species
GACGAACGCUGGCGGCGUGCUUAACACAUGCAAGUCGAACGAAGUGGCGAACGGGUGAGUAACGCGUAAUCAACCUGCCCUUCAGAGGGGGACAACAGUUGGCAACGACUGCUAAUACCGCAUACUGAAGGCGGGGAUUGCGUCUGAUGAGCUAGUUGGAGGGGUCACGGCCCACCACGGCGAUGAUCAGUAGCCGGUCUGAGAGGGUGAACGGCCACAUUGGGACUGAGACACGGCCCAGACGCCGACGGGAGGCAGCAGUGGGGAAGCUUACGCAAGGGACGAAAGUCUGAAGGAGCAACGCCGCGUGAGUGAUGACGGCCUUCGGGUUGGAAAGCUCUGUUAAUCGGGACGCGGUACCGGAAUAGAAAGCCACGGCUAACUACGUGCCAGCAGCCGCGGUAAUUC